GUGCUAUACUUCUGCUUAGCAUAUGCCCCACAGGCAACAGAGAGAUCCAUCCCUUUCACAGCAGCUUCAACUUCCAGGCUACUCUGGGGUUUCUAAAUCACUUUGGAGUACUUGGAAUGUGUUUAAGAGUUAACGAAAGCAUGGAAAUAGGCAACCAAAGUGCCCUUCUACCUGUAUCCUAGUUCUUUUUUUUUUUGUCUUGGAUUUUUCCCAAGGUUCUUAAAGGAAGAAGUGGUUGACAGCCACAUGUAUAAGCAAAGGCCUCUGCUUAGGAAGCAGGACUCGGCUCAUUUCUGUCUGUAACUUGAUGUAUGACUUUGGGCAAUGUGCUCUCCUUCCCUAUUCAUCUGUUUCCUUAUCUUGAAAAUCACAAAAUUGCCCUGCAUGACUUCUCUUUCAGCUCUAAUAUUCUUUGAUGCAACACUGGACAAGAUGCUAUGUGUGGAGCUCUGCACUGGAAGCUGCAGAUACAGCCAUGAGUGGAGGAUCGGGGUCUGGGUCUGUAAGCACUAAGAGCCUGAGCAGUGGGCCAGUGCUCCAAUGAAGCCAGAGGCCUCCUGGGUCCUGACACAGCUGGGGAUGGGAUUUGACAAAGGCCUGCAAACCGAAGCUGGACAACUUGAUAUAAAUCUGGAAGGACUCACCAUCACUGCAGACCAUGCAUGAGAAGGAAUGAUGUUCCUUGUGCCCAGGAAGCUAGGGAGACGUAUGAGAAGAAAGGAUGGCCUGUUAUGUGUAGUGACCUGAUGGAGACAGCCAUUCCACUCAGCCUCAUCCAAGGACAUGGGGACACAACAAGGGACCUCACGAGAUCGCUUUACAGACCAGUGAGAUACAAAGUCCUCUUCCAAAACCCUUCAGGUCACUUAGACACAGAAUCUAUACCAAAGUCCCCACAAUUCAGACCCCUAAUCUCCUUUCCCAGCGGCCUCUGGUCUUUCCACCAAAGGAUAUUUCAAAAAGUGUACCCAUAACUCUCUCCAAACUCCAUGAGGGAGGGUUUUGAAGAUGGCUUUCUAGAGUGCUGGUCUUCAAACUGAGCUCCUUCAGUCUCUAGAGGUCACAAGAGAAACCUCAGUGUCUCCACGUAAGCAAUGGGGAGGCCAAACGGGAUGGAUAGGCUCCUGAUCCCCAGUCCCAAGUCAACCACAGCAGUCUAUCUGUUUUAUAUUUUGGGCUUUUGGGUAAAAUUUUAUCUGCAAAAAGCCUCCAAUGCCAGAAAAACUAUUUUUAAACCUUUGAGCUGGAGGAUGCAUCUCAGUAUCCCUAUUGCAUCCUCACACUCAGGCAGACUUUGAGGGAGGUGGUACAUGGCAGAGGGUGGGAAUGGGCACUGGGCACACAAGUUCCAGGUACCUCACUAACAUUAUUAAAGGUCCGGAUAAGGAUAUAGCCUGUCUCAGUUUAUAGCAACUAUGAAGAAAUGGUUGUCUUGAUAAAAAAAAUUUACUGUUACCUUCUCCCAGUAAAAUAAAACUCAGACCUUCCAAAAUUUGGCCUGGAAGGAGAAUCUCCAGGUAAAGAAUGUGAAUUAGACCUAGAAACACUUUUUUCUGUUCCUCUGGGUUCCAUGUAUCAUUUUCCUCUUUGGAUUUUCUCAAUUGCUCAGUGUUUCUACUCUGCAGCAUUCCCCCACUAUGCCUGACAGGAGAAGUGCUGUUCCUCAGCAUCUAUCUGUCUUCAAACAUCUUUCCAUUUCCUCCUAAAAUGGCAACAAGUCACCUCCACAGAUUCCUCAGCUGAGAUAAGAUUGGAAUUUUCAAGAAACAAUUACAUAUUAAGGGGAAGUAAAAUGGAGGGGGAGUACAAAUCAUUUAAAUGAUGCAACUUUCAAGCACAUGGCUCUGAUCCACCUGAACUUUCAAGCAUGGGAGUCUUAUUCCACCUGAACUGAAUUAUUCCCCAGGGAUUUCACCCCUUCUCAUUUCAUGUGGGAUCCAUGAGUGGCUGUAAGCUAGCUAUCCAAAGGGCCAGAUCACCUCCAGAGCCUUUGCUUAAGCCCUCACUUCAAAACUCCCAUCCUGUUGCCACCCCCGCCCCCAGGAACUUGACUCUUUCCAUGGACAAAACCAAAAAUCAGUCAUCUCUUCUUCCUACCUAAGGUUGGUCCGGAGGCACAUUUCUUCUGCAGGGAUUGGCAAGGAAGAUUUCAGUCUUCAAGGUCUGUUGCUGGGCCUGGGCAAUGGAUGCGUUUUUCAGUAAUAAAGAGAAGAAUUUGAAGUUCCAACAGAUGAUUCAGGAAAUGAGGAAAGAUGACUAGGGGGUGGGUGCUACAUAAAGAAGGAAUUUGAAGACAGCAGGAAUAUCUCAAAAUGGACUUUGGCAUGACUGUUAUAAAUUCUUCCUCUAACUCCUCUACAGAAUCUUUAAUAAAGUCUACAAUGCUCUUUUGUACAUUUGUGCGAGUGAAUUCUCUUAGGCAUUGACUUUCAUGUCAGGUUGGGUCAUUCUUGGUGCAACACAAAGGCGGCACUGGAGGGAAACAAAGUGUGGAGGCAAAUGGGCCACGAGACUUUAAGUCCUCAGGAAACAGAUGUCAGGGGUGGGGGAAUGGUUUCCCCAGGCUGUGAAACGGAGAUGUGAGGCUUGUGUUUGGCUGCAACUUGUGGGUCCAGCAGGCUCUAGCUGACCAGAACUACAACAUGAUAAAUUGUCAUUUCAAUCCUUCACUGGCUACCCAUUGUCUAAGUCCAUACUCCUUGGCAGGAGAGGUGCUGCUCCUCCAAACUUUCUUCCUUCAAACAUUUUUUCCAUUUUCCUCUAAAAAUGGCAACAGUUCCCUUUCACAGAUUCAAUAGCUAAGACUGGAAUUUUCAAAACAACUAAGUAUUGGAGAGUAAAAGGGGAAAAAAAGUAUAAAUCAUUUAAAUGAUGCUACCUCCUGCAAUAGGGCUCUGAGUCUUUGUAUGGAUGAUACAUAAAGCCCUUUCAAAUCUGGCCUGCCACCUCUCCAUUGUCAUUUCUCCCAUACACUGCCUUGCCACUGCAUGCUACAGCAUUACCAUUUGCAAGAAACCUAAAUGACGACACUCUAACCCCACCAAGGAAAACAAAUUACUCUUCUCUGUCUCUUCCGAGCAUAGCAUUCCAGAUCAUUUUGCAUAAAUAUUUAUUGACAUGCUUGGCUCUCCUAAAAGAUUUUGUGAGUUUCCAACCCCAGAACCCACUGAGUGCUUAAAAAGUAGUAGAAUCUCAAUGAAUGUUUGUUGAAUUAAAACGAUUCCAAAGAUUGAUGUUAAAACAGAAAAGGAACAGACAGACAGAGUUGGAACGGCAAUUCUGCCACUUACUGGCUUGACAACUUUGGACCAGUUCCUUAAUCUCUCAGUGUCAACUGCUUCAUCCAUCAAUAAUGGUACUUUGUAGAGAGAAGGUGAAAGCAUAUAAAGUAUCUGGUCCCAGUGGUCGCUCUUAAUUAGUAGGCCAGGGGCUUCCCAGAUUUUUCAUUAUCAGCAAUGAAAUAUUUCAUAGAACCAGAUAAGAGCAGAGCUACUGUAACUUAGGGGUGCAGCCUCAGAGCCCCACCUGCUUAGCUACACCCACAUCUUGACCUACUCACUCCCACCCCAGAAGAACCCCAGGACUCCCAGAGCAUGGAGUAAAAUCUACUGUCUUAAAACAGCAUGGGAGGCAUACAACUAGUAGUAUGUGAGAUGAUUUUAAGUGGC
rnacentral:lncRNA from 1 species